ACCCUUCUUCUUACCAGAAAGAUGCUUGUUUCUGUCGGCGCAAUGUUUGAAGAAACCAGCUGGCUGUACCCGACUCCGAUAGCGUGUCUCGAGUGAGCCAUGUUUCCGUGAAGCAAAGAACGUUAUAGUCUCUUAUGUCUCUCUGGAAUGCUACCCUUGAUCGGAUUUCAUCUACCUUGUUGUCAAGAGACUGGACAUUGGCGAGUAGUAUGCUAGGGAGUGGUGCACGAUGUGCCCGUCUCCGGAGCCUGACCAGAAGACCACUUCGUCUGCCCCUUUGUCACACCUCCGUUGUUGCCAGUCUCCCUCGACUCCUUUGAAAAGGACACACCAUCAUGGAGGCCUCUGUUAGUGUCAUCAAGACAGUAAUUAGGGUCACUAACAGCUUCAUCAACAAUGCCAAGUAAUGUGUGUCGUGAAAAAUUGUAUAAAAAAAUACCUGGCUUGAUAAACUAGUAGGCUAGUUAGAACUAGUAGAUAGAACUAGUAGACUAAUUUUGGUUGUGAAGUGCAUUAGCAAAAAGUUUUUUCCUUUCUUUCGAACAAAAUGCAAUUUACCACUUGAAUGUCGAUCAUAUCACCCUGUCACAGGUCAUCCCAGUUAACACCACCUCGAAAGAUUGCCUGCUGGGGUUGUUCAAGAGAUGGGUGGGAGGGGCCCUCAUCAGUAUCAUGCAGACCAGCCCUCGCUGUGAGCAUUCCUAUGAAUUUGAUCAGUCAGCCACAUAUUGGCAAGUAUCCGUCCAGAAACAUUCACUUGUCAGUAUCAACAACUUUCACAGGCUCAUCAUUUGUACAAAUACAGAAGGUAAACCACUUCAUUCCUUUGAUACAUUUGAUACCCCAAUUGUGAAACAUAAUUUAUGUAUACUGACAUUAUUUGUUUCUUAUUUUCGACUUCUUAGAUGCAUAUAAUGCCCAUGGGCAUAAUGUAGCCUGGUGGAACCAGUCUGAUCGCUGUGUUCAGCAUUCUAUUUCACUUGACAUUUGAUGAUAUCUGAAGUGAAAUAGAAAGGUGAACGCAGCGAUCAGGUUGGUUCCACCAGGUUAAUCAUAACCAUUAUUGAUAAUGCAAUCAGUGCUCUGUGUGUGCGCAUGCGACCAACCGACAGGACAGACGACCGACCGAGUAGCUGAUCUACGCUGCUAUGCCCAUCAAUGGGGCUCUGGCAAAGACCUCACCUCCAGCCUCACCAACAGUUGUCGAUGGGGAGAACAGAAUUAGAUACCUGUAUGGAGGCAGCACUUUGGAGACUUGCUAUGGUGGUACUACUGAUUUCUGACUAUAAUCGGUUACAACAAACCCAAACCAACCCAGGGCGAUAGAACAGCAUGUCACAGUUGGUUACAUAGUGUAAUGGCAUCACCGGCCUGAAACUAAUCCUACACCUGUAGGGAUAUUAGUUCUGGGAUUUGUCUCCCGGGAAAGAUCUAAUGAGGAGAGAUGAGACAAAACCAUCCAGUUAUCCAAUUUGUAAGUCGCUCUGGAUAAGAGCGUCUGCUAAAUGACUUAAAUGUAAAUGUAAAUGUUAUAGAAUAUUGUGUUGUAGGACAGCUGAGCUGACUGAAGACCUCGGGCAUUCAACUCGCAGUAGUCGAUAUCAUUUCCACGGUAACAUGUAUUUACAUGACAUGAUGAAACGUUGAAACUAAUUUGCAAGCUACUUUGGUAGCAAGGCGUUGUAGAACGAGUGUCUUAUGAAACACAUUCCAGACACUGGCUCUUGCCAUGUUGCAAUAACUGAUUUUGACAGAGACAUAUCAGCUAGGAGGAUAACCAGCUGCAGCUACUAAAAAGCUAUGCUAGCUAGCUGCUGUCAGCUUGGCUAAACACAAGCAAAAGUGUAAAGUACUUAAGUAAAAAUACUUUGAUGUACUACUUAAGUCGUUUUGGGGGGGUAUCUGUAGUUUACUACUAUUUUUGAGAACUUUUCUUUUAUUCCACUACAUUUCUAUAGAAAAUAUACUUUUUACUCCCAUACAUUUUCCCUGACACCCAAAAGUACUUGUUACAUUUCGAAUGCUCAGGCAGGACGAUAUGGUCCAAUUCACACACCUAUCAAUAUAACGCGUUGUCAUCCCUUCUUCCUCUGAUCUGGUGGUCUCACUAAACACAAAUACUGCAUUUGUAAAUUAUGUCUGAGUGUUGGAGUGUACCCCUGGCUGUCCGUAAAUAAAAAAUGUAAUAAACAA